rnacentral:tRNA from 1 species
GAGGGUAUAGCUCAAUCAGUAGAGCACAUGCUUAGCAUGCACAAGGUCCUGGGUUCAAUCCCCAGUACCUCCA